rnacentral:rRNA from 1 species
GGGUUGUGAGGUUAAGCGACUAAGCGUACACGGUGGAUGCCCUGGCAGUCAGAGGCGAUGAAGGACGUGCUAAUCUGCGAAAAGCGUCGGUAAGGUGAUAUGAACCGUUACAGCCGGCGAUGUCCGAAUGGGGAAACCCAGUGUGAUUCGUCACACUAUCGUUAACUGAAUACAUAGGUUAACGAGGCGAACCGGGGGAACUGAAACAUCUAAGUACCCCGAGGAAAAGAAAUCAACCGAGAUUCCCCCAGUAGCGGCGAGCGAACGGGGAGCAGCCCAGAGUCUGAAUCAGCUUGUGUGUUAGUGGAACGGUCUGGAAAGUCCGACGGUACAGGGUGAUAGUCCCGUACACCAAAAUGCACAGGCUGUGAACUCGAAGAGUAGGGCGGGACACGUGGUAUCCUGUCUGAAUAUGGGGGGACCAUCCUCCAAGGCUAAAUACUCCUGACUGACCGAUAGUGAACCAGUACCGUGAGGGAAAGGCGAAAAGAACCCCGGCGAGGGGAGUGAAAAAGAACCUGAAACCGUGUACGUACAAGCAGUGGGAGCACCUUCGGGUGUGACUGCGUACCUUUUGUAUAAUGGGUCAGCGACUUAUAUUCUGUAGCAAGGUUAACCGUAUAGGGGAGCCGCAGGGAAACCGAGUCUUAACUGGGCGUUAAGUUGCAGGGUAUAGACCCGAAACCCGGUGAUCUAGCCAUGGGCAGGUUGAAGGUUGGGUAACACUAACUGGAGGACCGAACCGACUAAUGUUGAAAAAUUAGCGGAUGACUUGUGGCUGGGGGUGAAAGGCCAAUCAAACCGGGAGAUAGCUGGUUCUCCCCGAAAGCUAUUUAGGUAGCGCCUCGUGAACUCAUCUUCGGGGGUAGAGCACUGUUUCGGCUAGGGGGUCAUCCCGACUUACCAACCCGAUGCAAACUACGAAUACCGAAGAAUGUUAUCACGGGAGACACACGGCGGGUGCUAACGUCCGUCGUGAAGAGGGAAACAACCCAGACCGCCAGCUAAGGUCCCAAAGUCAUGGUUAAGUGGGAAACGAUGUGGGAAGGCACAGACAGCCAGGAUGUUGGCUUAGAAGCAGCCAUCAUUUAAAGAAAGCGUAAUAGCUCACUGGUCGAGUCGGCCUGCGCGGAAGAUGUAACGGGGCUAAACCAUGCACCGAAGCUGCGGCAGCGACACGAUGUGUUGUUGGGUAGGGGAGCGUUCUGUAAGCCUGCGAAGGUGACCUGUGAGGGUUGCUGGAGGUAUCAGAAGUGCGAAUGCUGACAUAAGUAACGAUAAAGCGGGUGAAAAGCCCGCUCGCCGGAAGACCAAGGGUUCCUGUCCAACGUUAAUCGGGGCAGGGUGAGUCGACCCCUAAGGCGAGGCCGAAAGGCGUAGUCGAUGGGAAACAGGUUAAUAUUCCUGUACUUGGUGUUACUGCGAAGGGGGGACGGAGAAGGCUAUGUUAGCCGGGCGACGGUUGUCCCGGUUUAAGCAUGUAGGCUGGUUAUCCAGGCAAAUCCGGAUAAUCAAGGCUGAGGUGUGAUGACGAGGCACUACGGUGCUGAAGUAACAAAUGCCCUGCUUCCAGGAAAAGCCUCUAAGCAUCAGGUAACACGAAAUCGUACCCCAAACCGACACAGGUGGUCAGGUAGAGAAUACCAAGGCGCUUGAGAGAACUCGGGUGAAGGAACUAGGCAAAAUGGUGCCGUAACUUCGGGAGAAGGCACGCUGGUGUGUAGGUGAAGCCCCUGCGGGUGGAGCUGAGACCAGUCGAAGAUACCAGCUGGCUGCAACUGUUUAUUAAAAACACAGCACUGUGCAAACACGAAAGUGGACGUAUACGGUGUGACGCCUGCCCGGUGCCGGAAGGUUAAUUGAUGGGGUUAUCCGUAAGGAGAAGCUCUUGAUCGAAGCCCCGGUAAACGGCGGCCGUAACUAUAACGGUCCUAAGGUAGCGAAAUUCCUUGUCGGGUAAGUUCCGACCUGCACGAAUGGCGUAAUGAUGGCCAGGCUGUCUCCACCCGAGACUCAGUGAAAUUGAACUCGCUGUGAAGAUGCAGUGUACCCGCGGCAAGACGGAAAGACCCCGUGAACCUUUACUAUAGCUUGACACUGAACAUUGAGCCUUGAUGUGUAGGAUAGGUGGGAGGCUUUGAAGCGUGGACGCCAGUCUGCGUGGAGCCAACCUUGAAAUACCACCCUUUAAUGUUUGAUGUUCUAACGUUGGCCCCUUAUCGGGGUUGCGGACAGUGUCUGGUGGGUAGUUUGACUGGGGCGGUCUCCUCCCAAAGCGUAACGGAGGAGCACGAAGGUUAGCUAAUCCUGGUCGGACAUCAGGAGGUUAGUGCAAUGGCAUAAGCUAGCUUGACUGCGAGCGUGACGGCGCGAGCAGGUGCGAAAGCAGGUCAUAGUGAUCCGGUGGUUCUGAAUGGAAGGGCCAUCGCUCAACGGAUAAAAGGUACUCCGGGGAUAACAGGCUGAUACCGCCCAAGAGUUCAUAUCGACGGCGGUGUUUGGCACCUCGAUGUCGGCUCAUCACAUCCUGGGGCUGAAGUAGGUCCCAAGGGUAUGGCUGUUCGCCAUUUAAAGUGGUACGCGAGCUGGGUUUAGAACGUCGUGAGACAGUUCGGUCCCUAUCUGCCGUGGGCGCUGGAGAAUUGAGGGGGGCUGCUCCUAGUACGAGAGGACCGGAGUGGACGCAUCACUGGUGUUCGGGUUGUCAUGCCAAUGGCACUGCCCGGUAGCUAAAUGCGGAAGAGAUAAGUGCUGAAAGCAUCUAAGCACGAAACUUGCCCCGAGAUGAGUUCUCCCUGAGACUUUAAGUCUCCUGAAGGAACGUUGAAGACGACGACGUUGAUAGGCCGGGUGUGUAAGCGCAGCGAUGCGUUGAGCUAACCGGUACUAAUGAACCGUGAGGCUUAACCUUACAACGCCGAAG